rnacentral:rRNA from 1 species
AAGGGGUGACGGCGUACCUUUUGUAUAAUGGGUCAGCGACUUACGUUCAGUAGCAAGCUUAACCGUAUAGGGCAGGCGUAGCGAAAGCGAGUCCGAAUAGGGCGUUCAGUUGCUGGGCGUAGACCCGAAACCAGGUGAUCUAUCCAUGGCCAGGAUGAAGGUGCGGUAACACGUACUGGAGGUCCGAACCCACUAACGUUGAAAAGUUAGGGGAUGAGCUGUGGAUAGGGGUGAAAGGCUAAACAAACCUGGAAAUAGCUGGUUCUCUCCGAAAACUAUUUAGGUAGUGCCUCGUGUCUCACCUUCGGGGGUAGAGCACUGUCAUGGUUGGGGGGUCUAUUGCAGAUUACCCCGCCAUAGCAAACUCCGAAUACCGAAGAGUGCAAUCACGGGAGACAGACAUCGGGUGCUAACGUCCGGUGUCAAGAGGGAAACAACCCAGACCGCCAGCUAAGGUCCCCAAAUAUAGCUAAGUGGGAAACGAAGUGGGAAGGCUAAAACAGUCAGGAGGUUGGCUUAGAAGCAGCCACCCUUUAAAGAAAGCGUAAUAGCUCACUGAUCGAGUCGUCCUGCGCGGAAGAUGUAACGGGGCUAAGCUAUAUACCGAAGCUGCGGAUGCGUGCUUAGCACGCAUGGUAGGAGAGCGUUCCGUAAGCCUGCGAAGGUGCCUUGUAAAGGGUGCUGGAGGUAUCGGAAGUGCGAAUGCUGACAUGAGUAGCGAUAAAGGGGGUGAAAGGCCCCCUCGCCGUAAGCCCAAGGUUUCCUACGCAACGUUCAUCGGCGUAGGGUGAGUCGGCCCCUAAGGCGAGGCAGAAAUGCGUAGCUGAUGGGAAGCAGGUCAAUAUUCCUGCACCAUUGUUAGAUGCGAUGGGGGGACGGAUCGCGGAAGGUUGUCCGGGUGUUGGAAGUCCCGGUCGCUGCAUUGGAGAAGGCGCUUAGGCAAAUCCGGGCGC